ACUUUCUUCGUCUAAUGGUUAGGACUUUACUCUUUCACAGUAACAAUAUGGGUUCAAAUCCCAUAGGAAGUG
rnacentral:tRNA from 1 species